CGUAUAUUAAAGUUGUUGCAGUUAAAAAGCUCGUAGUUGGAUUUGUGGUUGGAGUGACUGGCUCGACACAGUGUGUUGAUGCUUUGUUGUCUCCGUCCAUCCUUGGGUGGAACCUGUGUGGCAUUAAGUUGUCGCGCAGGGGAUACCCAUCUUUUACUGUGAAAAAAUUAGAGUGCUCAAAGCAGGCUUACGCCGUUGAAUAUAUUAGCAUGGAAUAAUGAGAUAGGACCUGGGUACUAUUUUGUUGGUUUGCGCACCGAGGUAAUGAUUAAUGGGGACAGUUGGGGG
rnacentral:rRNA from 1 species